rnacentral:rRNA from 1 species
AGUGAACGCUGGCGGAGUGCUUAACACAUGCAAGUCGAGCGAGAAAAUCCUUUCGGGGAUGAGUAGAGCGGCGAACGGGUGAGUAACACGUAAAUAACCUGCCCUUAAGUUCGGGACAACCUUGCUAACGCGAGGCUAAUACCGGAUGUGGUUUGAAUUUCUCCUGAUUUCAAAUUAAAACUACGGUGCUUAAGGAUGGAUUUGCGGACUAUUAGCUAGUUGGUAGGGUAAUGGCCUACCAAGGCGAUGAUAGAUAGCCGACCUGAGAGGGUGAUCGGCCACAUUGGGACUGAGACACGGCCCAG